rnacentral:rRNA from 1 species
GACGAACCGAGCGAACGUUGUUCGGAAUCACUGGGCUUAAAGGGCGCGUAGGCGGGCAUCCAAGUCCGUGGUGAAAUCCGGCAGCUCAACUGUCGAACUGCCGCGGAUACUGGGUGUCUCGAGGGAGGUAGGGGCGUGCGGAACUAUUGGUGGAGCGGUGAAAUGCGUUGAUAUCAAUAGGAACUCCGGUGGCGAAGGCGGCACGCUGGACCUUUUCUGACGCUGAGGCGCGAAAGCCAGGGGAGCAAACGGG